AGUGAACGCUGGCGGUAGGCCUAACACAUGCAAGUCGAACGGCAGCACAGGAGAGCUUGCUCUCUGGGUGGCGAGUGGCGGACGGGUGAGGAAUACAUCGGAAUCUACUCUGUCGUGGGGGAUAACGUAGGGAAACUUACGCUAAUACCGCAUACGACCUACGGGUGAAAGCAGGGGACCUUCGGGCCUUGCGCGAUUGAAUGAGCCGAUGUCGGAUUAGCUAGUUGGCGGGGUAAAGGCCCACCAAGGCGACGAUCCGUAGCUGGUCUGAGAGGAUGAUCAGCCACACGGGAACGGAGACACGGUCCAGACUCCUACGGGAGGCAGCAGUGGGGAAUAUUGGACAAUGGGCGCAAGCCUGAUCCAGCCAUACCGCGUGGGUGAAGAAGGCCUUCGGGUUGUAAAGCCCUUUUGUUGGGAAAGAAAUCCAGCUGGCUGAUACCCGGUUGGGAUGACGGUACCCAAAGAAUAAGCACCGGCUAACUUCGUGCCAGCCGCCGCAGUAA
rnacentral:rRNA from 1 species